AGAGCAGCAGUCGUCCCACGCAAGAUAAAGCAGCCGUCACCGCCACACCACAACACACGGGACCCUGUAAUAAUAAAAUAAGUCUGUAUUACAUUUCACACACAGCUAAUUCAGCCUGUCAUGUUGUGCCCAUUGGAAUCAGCUUAUCUCUCCACUUCUUAAACUGUUUAACUCAGUCUCUUGAUCUGUGGAAUGUCUCCCAUAUUUGGAAUUUUUUUAAUAAUGGCAACAGCAGCACAUGGUUCUGCAGGCUCAGACAGCAACAUUAUAACACGCUAUGUAGCUCUGGGACGACCUGCGUUUAUACAGCUGAUAAAUGGAGCCAGUGGCUAUGAGAUAAUGCUCAAAAAGGAUGGAAAUAAUAUUUUCAUUUUUAAAAAGGACAAAACUAUUUUUCACGGAAAUUGGGAAUCUCAGUUUAAUUUUUAUACAAACGGCACCU